GAUGAAUAACGUAGCGAAAUGCGAUAAGUAGUGUGAAUUGCAGAAUUCCGUGAAUCAUCGAAUCUUUGAACGCACAUUGCGCCUCCUGGUAGUCCGGGAGGCAUGCCUGUUCGAGCGUCACCAAAUCCAACUCAAGCGGUUUUGCGCUUGGUCGUGGCGGAAGAGUCGGUCUGGUUGCCGUCUCCCCUCCGAAAAUCAACGGCGGAAAGUCACUGGCAGUCAGCGUAGUAGUAUCGUUCGCCGAACAUCCAGUGGCAUUCCUGCCGACGUACCCCCACAAUUCUCGUGAUUGACCUCGGAUCAGGUAGGGAUACCCGCUGAACUUAAGCAUAUCAAUAAGCGGAGGA
rnacentral:misc_RNA from 1 species